rnacentral:rRNA from 1 species
CAGUCGCCACGGGAAUACGUAGGUGGCAAGCGUUGUCCGGAAUUAUUGGGCGUAAAGGGCUCGCAGGCGGUUUCUUAAGUCUGAUGUGAAAGCCCCCGGCUCAACCGGGGAGGGUCAUUGGAAACUGGGAAACUUGAGUGCAGAAGAGGAGAGUGGAAUUUCACGUGUAGCGGUGAAAUGCGUAGAGAUGUGGAGGAACACCAGUGGCGAAGGCGGCUCUCUGGUCUGUAACUGACGCUGAGGAGCGAAAGCGUGGGGAGCGAACAGGAUUAGAGACCCGAGUAGUCCCUGUCUCUUAUAA